AGGAUUUCGAAGAUGGACCUCCGACGAAAUAGUUUCAAUGGACAAAAAACCCUCACGAUUACUAUUUGCAUGCAGUUUCCAACUUAAAUCUUCAAGGCUAGAUGGCGAAGAAGCCUCAACCUCAUCAAUAAUUUCAAUACCUUCUCCAUUCACGUUCUUAGAAGAUCGAUGGGCAUCCCCAUCUCCAGCUUCUGAACAGGACACGAGAAUACCAUCAUAAGUGGCGAGACCUUCAAUCGUUUCAACAAAAUCAUGGGGAACAUCAACAGAUCCUUCGAGACUUCCACCAGAAGCAUGAGAAGAGACAUCAAGUUCAUUUUUGGAAACUGUUGCUUCACCAUGAACGAGAAUAAGACCAGCUUCUUCAUCCCCUCCAUCUUGUUCUUGAGCUACAUGAUUUGAAGAAACCUCUGCUUCCAGAUUACAUGGAGAAUCUAUGAAGAAUAAUCCUUUUUGGUUGUGGUUGCUAACACAAAAAGCUGACGAAUAUGAUCUAGGGCUAUCUUCAAAGUGAAAAGAACCAAGAACAUCAACCUCAUUGACUUUGGAUUUUGAUUUUUUUUUUGAACCUAUACGUCUUCUAUGAUUCUUCCCCAUAACAAAAACCAACUAAAAUCAACAGAUUUGUAAGAUUAAGCACAAGAAAUGUUACACCGUAAAUUUCAAAACAAAUUUUCGCAUUUUAUACAAAACACAAUUCAUUCAAUAUUCAUAAAAACAUCAUUGUUUGUAACUCAAAUUAGUAGCAUAUAAAAAUCCCAAGAUCUCAUAACAUAAAAUCUCGUGUGUGUACUGAUCAGGCCAGCGCCUUCCCGCGAUCCUCACUAGUACCUGAAACAAAUAACACCAAACACCGUAAGCACAAAGCUUAGUGAGUUUCCCAAAAUACCACACAUAGCACAUAUUAGCCACUCGAGGCUAUAACUCUGUGGGUCCGUGGACCCUACUCUGUGAACCCUCUGGUUCUGACUCUGUGAACCUUCCUGUUCCAACUCUAUAAACAUGCACAGCAUAAAUCACAUAGAAAUAAUGUAGUACAACACAUAACAUACAUAUAGCAUACAAAUACUCUAUCACAUAACUCUGGUUACCUACUCAAGGUAAAGUAUAGUGAGAAGACUCACAUCGCGUAUCUCGAUAACUCGUAAAUCCCUGAAAUCACUAGUGCUCGAUCUCCCGAGCUAUAGUCCUCCUAUAACACAAAUACAUCUCUAAUUAACACUUUCCCAACUAGGGUUGACUAACACUAUCAAGUCAACACUGGUCAACCCUGGUCAACGGUCAACGGUCAACCCAACUCGCCGAGUCUGGCGUGGACUCGCCGAGUCUCUACGGGGACCCGAUUCCUCUGAGUCCCUUCCGACUCACCGAGUCACUCACCCGACUCGGUUACUCAACCCCUGGUUCGAAAUCACUGAACAACCCGCACCAACUCGUCGAGUCUGGCAAUGGACUCGGCGAGUGCAUUCCAUGCACAACCCCAAACGACCUUCUGAGGUCAGAUCUAUUCCACUAACUCAUAGAUCCAGUCCUUCCAAGCUUAUUUAUCACGUAAAGUUCAUGUCUUGGCGCUCAUAACACACCUAAUGACUCAUAAAUGGUGUUUUGACCUCAAGCACAAAGAUCCCAAACCAAAACCUCCAUGGAUUCAUAAAAAGCUUGGACAAAGGGACACUCUGGACCUCCAAGGGUCCAGAUCCAGAACCUAACUCGCUUAAGGGACCAGGGGAGCACUAGAUCUAGCCAUAAAAGGGCUCAAUAAGCCCUAAAUCAACAUGAACAUCACCUCAAUAGAAAAGGGUUCGAAAAUAGUACCUCAAACGUGAUGUUCUGGACAUCAAAUCUUCAGGAAGUUAAUCCUCUUGCUUCCUCUUGGCUAUAGCUUACUUUCCCUUGCUAGACAACACCACCAAGGUCAACAAUGGUUCCUUCUCUCAAUCCAAACACUCAAGCUCACUAGGGUUUCGCUCUGGGGGCUGGUGAGCACAAAUGACGGCCAUAAGGCCCUUUAAAUAGGCCUCAAACCAGAGAAAUUAGGGUUUUAUUAAAAAGCACGGACUCGCCGAGUCCACCAAUGGGACUCGUCGAGUCCGGUCAUUAAUUUGGGAGAGAAAUCGCGUCUCUNAGUCUACGCACCAACUCGCUGAGUUCUUCCACAAAACUCAAAAUAAAAUGAAUAAAUCUAAUACCUGAAAUUCCAGAUGUUAUAAGAAACCCAAGAAAAAACAAGAACACUUAAUCUCCAAGAAAAUUUCCUAGAAAGAAAAAUUCUAGAGAGAGAAAGUACUCCAUGGGGUNUGGCAAAUUUUAUUGAAAGAAAAAAAAACAUUACAAGAGGAAAGAGGGAAACUGCCCAAAAAAAAACUAGCUACAAGAACCUAACUAACAACUAACUAAACUAGACAAGAAAAAUAAUUUUAGAAGAACUAAAGGCCCUAACUAACAAACACCAACCAAUCCACUUCCAAGUCCAACUCCAAAGCAAAGAGUGAAACCACACAUAGCUUCCAAAAGGAUAAACAAUGAAAUCAAAAGCUAAAAUUUUCCAUCUCAAAGAGUCUUCAAAGUCUUCAUUCUUUAUGUAGCUUUUAAUCCUCCACCAAACCAAAGAAAUAAAUUUGGCCUCAUACUCGUACAAAUAAUCCAAGGUUUGAAAAAUACCAAUCUCACAAUACAUCCAAGGAGCUUCCAAAUCAUGAGAAUCAUUGGCCAACGCGAUCAAAUCUUAAAUAAAUUUCAAAAUUCUCCAAUACAAUCUAAAGCCAAAAAACAAUCAACUUUGACCGUUGGACUUUACACUUCUUGCAUUCCUCUUCUUUCUUCUCCAAAGACCAUCUUUUAAACUUCAUUCCGUUCUUCACUUGAAAAACCCAUAAGCUCCAAUUAUUAAGCCAAUUAACCAUCACAACCCUCUUUAGAUCAAUUCGAAAAUUAUCUUCAAAGCCUUCCACUUUUCUUUCAACAUCCUCUUUAGCCAAAGAAAAAGUCUUCAAACUCCAUGAAAGUAUAAUGCUAAAACCGUGAAACCCAAGCCAUUCCCCCAACUCCCAUGAAAACUUCAAGUUUUCACCAUCUUCACUCUUGACAAAAUCAUCCCAACUAAUCUUCAAGAAUCCCUUCGUGCAAGUAAUCCAAGAAUUCCAAAUUGCCCUCGAGGAGUAAACCACCAUUUUCCAAAUUUAGAGCUCACUGACAUAAAAAUACCAAGGGUUUGAUGGGCAAAAAACUCAAACCCAUCAACAAUCUUUUUUGAAAUCAUACCAAGGGGAAAAAUCCGUCAAUUCCAUUUUUAUAAGGGUAAUUACAAAAAUACCCUUGAAGGUUAAUUCCAAGAAGAAAAGGAAUAAACCCUUUAAAAUCCACAUCAAAGGUAAAAAUACCAAUGAUAACCGGGAUAAACCGGUUGGCAAGAAUCUUUAGGUAGAACCAAAAGAAGAAAAGGAACCAAAAGUGGUUGUUUUUAUAGUUAUAAAGGACACAACCAACCCAAAGAUGGUACAGUCUAAGGUUAACGUUCCCAAUCCUAUGUAUUAUCGGGUGAUUAUCCCACCACUUGCUAAUCGAACUAGCAGUGGCACCCACCAAAGUGGAGAUUCCUAGUUUCCUAGGAAGAAGACACCAAUUGACGGGGAUCAAACCCGUUUGCAUUAAAAUAAUAACCACUUCAAUGGAAAAUUUUCCAAUGAAAUCUGGGAUAAACUAGAUAGCAGGAAACAAAAAGAAAUCCCAAAGGAUCCAAAAGUGGUUGUUUUUAUGGUUACAAAGGAAACAACCAACCCAAAGAUGGUACACUCUAAGGUUAACGUACCCAAUCCCGUGUAUUACUGGGUGAAUAUCCCACCACUUGCUAAUCGAACUAGCACUGGCACCCACCAAAGUGGAGAUUCCUAGUUGCCUAGGAAGAAAACACCAACUAACGGGGAUCAAACCCAUUUGCAUUAUGAGAGAAACCACUUCAAAGGAAAAGAUUCCAAUGAAAUCCGGGAUAAACGGGAUAGCAAAAACCAUAAAGAAACCCCAAAAGGGCAAAAAGUGGUUGGUUUUAUAGUUACAAAGGAAACAACCAACCCAAAUGUGGUACAGUCUAAGGAUAACGUACCCAAUCCCAUGUAUUAACGGGUAAAUAUCCCACCACUUGCUAAUCGAACUAGUAGUGGCACCCACCAAAGUGGAGACUCCAAGUUGCCAAGGAGUAGAACAACCAAUAAUGGGGAUAAAACCCAUUUGCAUUAAAAAAAACCACUUCUAAAGGAAAAAUCCUCAAGAAAAUCAGGAUAAAACCGAUAAGCAAAGCAAUUUUUAAAGGAAAAUUGCUAAACCCAAUUCCGUCAAUUCCUUUAAUCAUUAAAAAAAUCAUGAGUCUUCUCUCCAACGGGAAUGCCCCACUUCCUCUUGACUUCAUUGUUAAAACCCAAAAAAUCACCCUUGAGCCCAAUAAACUUAACACGAAUUUCUUCAAAGAUGUUCAAAACAACUUUCAUCUCCUCAUUCUUGCCUUUUCUGAAGAGUAUGAAAUUUCUCUCUCCAAAUAUAAUACACUGAGGCAGCAAAAGCAAUUCUCAUAAUAAAAACUUUAAUGCUUUUACCCUUGAACAAACCCUGAAGCUCUUCAAUUAUCUCUUUCCAUCCAUGAGAAUCACUUCUUAACUCCACUUUAUCUUUCACGGCUUUCCAAACAACAGAAGAAUAAGGGCAUUCAAAAAACAAAUGAGAAUGCGAAUCAAAUUGAUUAUUACACAGAGAGCACUUAAGAUUUUUAUUUUUGUCCCAAAAUCUCAUUCUAUCCUGAGUCAUAAGCCUCUCCUGAAUAGCGAGCCAAAGAAUGAAACUGUUCCUUGGGAUGCGUUGCUUGAACCAGACAAGUUGAACCCAAGGAACCUGCUGACCACUAUUACUUAGAUCAAUCCAAACUUGCUGAAUAUCAAAAUCCACCACCUUCCCAUCUCUUUUCCUCCAUAAAACUUUAUCAGCCACCAAAGGAUCAAGAACCGGCAGUUGAAAUUCAUUCAAUUGAGGAAUGAGAGAAAGCCAGACAGAAGGCCAAAACCAUAAAUUAUCAGCAAUAACAUCCUUGACCUUGUCAGUUAUACUAAAACCUGCACUAGCAAUCUCUCUUGGGGAGAGAACAUGAUCAAAAGCACCAAGUUGAUGCCAAUCAUCAUACCACAUGAAAGUAUUAGCACCAUUCCCAACCUUAGAAUAGAAAUGAUUUCUAAAGUUGGGUCUCAAUCUAAUCAAAUUUCUCCAGCUCCAGCUCAAAUCUUGUUUUUCCUCAACAUCCCAAAAACUCCUUCCUUUUAGGAUAUUAAUGUUUAUCCAUUUAACCCACAAAGAAUCGCAAUUGGAUAAAAUCAUCCAUAUUCUCUUAGAUAAAAUUGCUUUAUUCCAAGCUCUAAGAUUUCUGAGACUCAAUCCCCCACACUCCACAGGUUUACAGACAGAAGACCAAGCAAUUUUAGCUCUCCCUUUCUUAGAUUCAUCACAAUCCCAAAGGAAAUUUUUCAUCAAUUUCUCAUUUUCCUUAAUGAUAGCAGCUGGGAUAAGGAGACAAGAAGCCCAAUAAACAGGGAGGGAAUAAAGAACUGAAGAUAAGAGUUGCAACCUUCCAACAUAUGAAAGAAAUUUAUUCCUCCAAUCACCAAUUCUGCAUCAGAAUUUAUCAACAAGUCUUUUGCAAUCAUGGGUGAACAACCUAGUAGAGAUGAGAGGAAUACUCAAAUACCUCAUUGGAAGUUUCCCUUCAACAAAAUGUAAAGUAUCAAUAAUUUUCCUCUUCACAUUAACCUUGACAUUCCAAAAAAUAUAUGGCUUUUAGAGAAAUUGGGAUGGAGGCCAGCCACACUAGCGAAUUCAUGAAGGCUAUCUUUAAUCACCCUGAAUGAGGCUUUAUUUCCAUGGCAGAAAAUCAUCAAGUCAUCCGCAAAAUACAGGUGAGUAAGCUUAAGUUUCUUACAUCUCCAAUGAUACUUGAACAACGGCUCAUUCUUUAUUCUUCUUUGAAAAAUCAAAUUAAAAGUUUCCAUCACCAGGGUGAAUAAAUACAGAGAGAGAGAGGGCAGCCCUGUCUAAGCCCUCUUUUUCCUUAAAAAUAACCAUUAAAGGAGCCAUUCAUACUAAUCAUAUAGGAGGGAGUGCUCACACACUGCAUGAUCCACUUUAUCAUAGUUGGAUGGAACCCAAAGUGAAAAAGAAUAUUUUGAAGAAAUGACCAAUUUACAGUAUCAUACGCUUUCUGGAUAUCCACCUUAAGAGCACAUCUAGAAAAACCACGGUCUAUGUGAUAACCCCGGACCAGCUCUUGAGAGAGAAGGAUAUUAUCAGUGAUAGAUCUCCCCGGAAUAAAAUCUGAUUAGUUAUCAGCAACAAUAGUUCCCAAAUGACUUCCUAAUCUUCCAACAAUAACCUUGCUGAUGCAUUUAUAAAUGACCGAACAACAGGAAAUAGGUCUAAAGUCACUCACUUUUCCGGGAGAAUCCACUUUUGGAACUAAAGCAAUAACUGUGGCAUUAACUUCUUUGAGAAUUUUUCCAUUAGCAAAAAAUUCCUUGACAGCUAGACAAAAAUCCUCACCAAUAAUAGACCACAUAGAUUUAAAGAAUUUAGCCGAAUACCCAUCCGGUCCAUACGCUUUAUCAUCAUUUAUAUCAAAUAGGGUUGUUUUUAAUUUCUUCAUUUGACACAAUCUUGACCAUCUCAACAGCAUCAACAAGGUCAAGUUUUUGAUGAAAAGAGAAUCUGGCAGCAUAAUCUCCUCACAAGGCUCCUCUUUUCCAAGAAAAUCCAGGAAAUAAUCAAUGAAUUCUUUAUAAACAGCUUCGCCUUCCAGCCACUUCCCUUGACGAUUCAUAACAGCUUCAAUUUUGUUUUUGUGAGCUUUUCCUUUGACGAUUCUAUGGAAGAAUUUAGAGUUACUAUCACCCUCUUUUAACGAGUGAAUUUUGGCUUUUUGUUUCAGGAACCUUUCCUCCUUAUCAUAAGCUUUUUUAAGCUCUCCAAGGAAGAUGGCCUCCAAAUCACGAAGAUGAGAAUUAAAAGGAUCCAAGUCCAAAUCAGAUUGGACUGCUUCAAGUUCCUUACGAUAAUGAUCAACAUUUUCUGAAAAAUGCCCUUGAACUUUUAACAGCUUGCAAAUUGGCUUUUUAAAAUUUUUGAGCUUUUGCGUUAAUCUAAACAUCUUAACUCCUUGAACUUCAAUAUUCCAAUGCCUUUCAACCAACAGUUUUAACUCAGGGCUAAGAGUGAGAACAUUAGGGAAUUUGAAAGGUAGCACAACAAACUUAGCUCUCAAAGGAAUUUUGAUAAUAACAGGGCUGUGAUCAGACAGCCUAUACAAAAGAAAGGAAGCAAAAAUUGAGGGGAAAACUUCAAGUAACCUGCUAUUGCCCAUUACACGGUCAAGUUUCUUCAAGAUACCAUGGCUUCCUUGAGGCUUUUGAUUCCAAGUGAAGUUCAGCCCAUUGCUAUUAAUAUCUUGAAUUUCAAGAUAAUUAAUGCAAUCAAGAAAUUCCAUCAUCCCUUUGGUAUAUCUAGAAGAACCAGCAGUGCUUUCAUUUAGAUUAAGCGUAACAUUGAAAUCCCCACCAAUAACCCAAGCAUCAUCACGAACAAAGUCUUUAUGGCGCAUAAUAGAAGACCACAAAGCUCUUCUAUUUAUGUACUUAUUUGCAGCAUACACAAUAGAACAGAAAACAUACUUAUUAUUAAGAGGGAAUCUAACUUUGCAAUGAAUAACUUGAUCAUUAUGAUCGAUCAAGUUAACAUCAAAAAGACUAGAAUUCCAACCAAUAAUAAUACUUGAAGUAUGCCCAUAAUUUCCCUUAUUAGCAACCCACUUCCAUGAUCCAAAGAUCUUAUCACAUUUCUCUUCAAGUUUCUUAAAGUUGACUUGAGAUUCAAGAACAGCUAAAAAACUCAAAUUAUUCAUCUUUAUCAAAUUUUGUAUUUUUUUUUUUUUUGCUUAGGGGAUUGAUUAAGACCCCUAAUGUUCCAAAUUCCAAAACUAAACGUCAUUGGAAAGAGCUUCCAUGUUGGUAUCAUCCAAAGGGAUACCACCUAUAACUUCCAUUUGAUCUACAGUAUCCAAAUACGCAAGAUCAACCUCUGAAACACUCCUUUUUGAGAAAGCAAAUUGAUUUUCAUCUUCCAAAUCAUUAAGAACAUCAAACUUAUUGUUAGAAAUUAGAUUCACAGAGUCUCGAUUUCUCUCAGUAUGGAAAUUUCUAUCAAAAUUUGAACUAAUUUUGAGGUCAGCCCCUGAUUUCGGAACAUAAGAUUGCCGAUUGGAAUCUUUUUUCCCCGAAACAUCUUUCUUAUUCACUUCCUGAUUACCACGACUCACAACAUUAUUCCCCAAAUUACCUUUUUUUUUUUCAAAACAGCCCCUACGCUAUUGCCCAUCUCCAAGCUCUUUUCGUUUUUACUACUUUUCCCUUGUUCAUAUUUAAAAUCUUUUGAAUUGCCAUUCAUAAACCGAAAAUUCCCAUUAUACCCCUGACUUCCUUUACCUUUAUUCCCUUGAUUUCCUCCAUUGUUAUUUCCAGUUUUAAAAAAUUUGUUCCCAUUUUGCCCUUGAUUUCCAGCAUUCGGACCCACCCACUUCUUUCCAUUAUUUUGGAAUUUCCCAUUAAACCCUUGAGACAACGCCUGAUUCUUCUUUCACCUUAUCCUCUGCACUCUUCCCCUUAUUUUUCUUAAAAACAGUUUGAAAUCCCUCAUCAUCCUCUUCAACUUUUUUAGUACUUGCUAUUAAAACUUCCAUUAAAUCAAUCUGAACUUCUUCCUUAUUUUUUCAUGUGUUGGAAUUACUGUCAAUUUCUUGGACCUGAUUAGCUAGAAGAACUCCACAGUUAGAAUCCUUAUGUCCAUAAACUUUACAAUGAGAACAUUUGGAAGGAUUCCAAGCAUAUUCAACUCUGCAUUUUGAGAGAAUCCUUUAUCCUGUAGUCAAAUCAGAUGAAUAAACUUGGACUUCUUUUAACCAAUCUUUAGAAGUAGACAUCUCAAUUAAAAUCCUCAUAAAUGUUUAGGGUUUUGGGUUUUGGGGUUUAGGGUUUAGGGUUUUAGGGUUUAGAGUUUAGGGUUUAGGGUUUUUUUUUCGUGGGAAAGAGGCCACAGCCCCAGCAAAGAUUUUAUAUCAAAAAAAAAAUACAAGGGUUUAAAUCACUUUUGGACAAACCCCAAAAGUGAUACAAAGCCAAACAUCAAAAAGGUACCAAAACCAAAUACAAGGUUUAAAAACAAUAAAAUCACAAAGACAACACUUAAUUUUCUUCCUACUCCAAAAGAUGGAAUGAUCUUUAACUCUCCAAGGAUCGAAGUUGCUCUUAUGAUUUUGAAUCUUCAUGCAUCUUCUCUUCAUGGUAUCCUCAUGCUUCAAAUCAAUCCAAAUUCUCAAAAAAAUCUCUAUUAGCUUCAAACUUUAUCCACAUCUUCAAACUCUUAUAACAAAACUUCCCAAUCCAAUUAGACUCCAAAAUAGCAACGAACUUUGUACACCUUAUUCUUGUUUUCCUAUCCUUCAUAAAACCCAAAAAAAAAUAAACCUUUGUAUAUAUGUAUAAUGCCAUUUCUCCUCCUUCCCACACUCUCAAAAGAACAAGAAUUUAAGGAUCCAAUCCAAGUCCAAAUAUCAACAAAUAAAUCUUCAUUAUAAUCGCUUUUCAUCCCAAAAUUAAUAAUCUUCUUUAAAAUCUUCAAAUCCUUCCAAUCUCCAAAAUUCCUUCUUUGUCUAUACCAAUUCUUCAAUAGAGUAUUCCAACUUUCACCAUCUUCAUUCAUCAUCCAGAAAUUUAUUAUGAAAAUCUCAUCUCUUGAUUUUUUACGGAAAAAAUCAUAAAACCCACCAACUAAAUUACUCGGAUUUGAACCAAGAUUUUUGAACUUUUUACACCAAACUAUAACUUCCAGAAUUGAACCGGAUAAAAUCAUCUUUUUUUGGAAAAAAAGGGUCAACCACAUAACUAGACUACUUGGAAUUGAACCAAGAUUUAAAUUCUUUUUAUGGAAAAAGAAGGAAACCAAACAACUAAAUGAUCCGGAUUUGAACCGGGAAAAAUCAUCCUUUUUUGGAAAAAAGGGGCAAACCACUUGACUAUACUACUUGGAAUUGAACCAAGAUUUAAACUCUUUUUAUGGAAAAAGAAGGAAAACCAACCAACUAAAAUUCCCGGAUUUGAACCGGACAAGAAGUGACAUUUUGUUAACAAAAAAAUGCCAAAAAAUUUGUGGUACAGUCUAAGGACGACGUACCCAAGCCUGCGUAUUAACAGGUGAAUAUACCACCACUUGGCACCCACAAAUGUGGAGGAUCCUAAAUGAAUAGGAUUGAACCGACUAUUUUCGGGAAUUGAACCCUCUAGCAUAAAAAUGCCGAAUUUUUUAAGGAAAAAAAUUAUAAAACCAUCCGUCAAUUCUUUUAAAAUUCACACCUUGUUUCCAAGGAUGACAACCACGAAUUAUGGGGAUAAAUAGAGAUGGCAACGGGGGCGGGAAACACAGGGGACCCCAAUUCCCAUCCCCAUCCCCGAAUCCUCAUUCCAAUCCCCAUCCCCAUCCCCAUCCCCACCGGGGAAUAUAAAUAAACCCCCAUCCCCACCCCCAACGGAGACUGGGGAUCCUUAACGGGAAAACGGAGAUUUCUUUUUCUCUUUUAACAUGUAAACUUUUACGUAAGAAAAAACUCUAUAUUUCAGUUUUACUAGCAUAAGUUUAAAGAUUUUAUAAAAUAUAUAAGUACCUAUAAAUUGCAGAAAAAAUAUAAAUAAAUUUUAUACCAAAUUUAAAUACAUACAUGAAAAAUCAAGUAGAAAAAAAUUAUCAGAUUGAUAUUUAAGGUAAAAUAUAUCAACCAAAGAGAAAAAAAAUAUAUAUAUACACGAGUUUAAAUUAGAUAAAAGAAAAAACAAAAAGUAUAAUUUCAACCAAGUAGUUACUAAUGAGUUAGGUUACUUAGAUCAAAUUUUAUGUAUUAUAAACUAUACUAUAAAUAUAUGUUCUGUAUUAUUUUUAUAUAUUAAUAUAUGUCGGGGACGGGUCCGGGAUCGGGGAUUAAGGGUAUCCUCGUCCCCAUCCCCAUCCCUACUUUUUUUAUUCAGGUAUUCCCCAUCCCCGUCCCCAUCCCCGAUCAACCUGGGGAUUCCCCAGUCAAAACGGGUGCGGGUUUCGGGUUCCCCAUUGGGUAUGGGGCUUUUUACCAUCCUAGGGAUAAAACCCAUAAGCAAAUUUAUUAUUUCCACAUCAUACGGAAUAAACCGAAUGAUACUCAUUUUUAAAGGUAUAAAUGAUAAAAUCCCAAUUCCCGUCAAUUCUUUUUUGAAAAUAAUUAACAAAGUUACCCCUGAUAAAAAAAUGAUCCUUCCAUAUCUCUUUAUUCCAAAAUUGCCCAUCCAUCAUAAGAGAAAUUAACCACCAAUGAAACUUAUUACUUUUAAUCCACCUUGAUUCCAUCUUUUCAUAAAAUCAUUCAGACUCCAAAAAUUGAAAAUAACCAGCUUCACUAUGUAUAUCUUUUCGCAGUAAUGACCAUAUUGCCCCUGCCUCCAUAAAUCCCAGAUAUAAAAGUACCAGCUACCCUUAAACCAAUCACAAGAAUUAAUCUCACCAAAAAAUCCUUUUAUCAACAUGAAACAGCUCCACAAACAUCCAAACAAACCCUUAAGACCAUAAUACCCCUGCCUUGUAAUCCUUCCAACCCCAAAAAGAAAAGCUAUAGCAAUUAGAAACCCGUCCUUCUUAUGUACCUGAUACCAACAUAGCAGAUUCCAACCAAGCCUAUCUUCAAUCAUCAUCAAGAUAACAAUGUCUAGAUUACCAAAAUACCCUUUCUUUUUAGUCCUCCCGUCCUGAUAAUAAAGAUCAUCAAAUUGCAAGCGUUCAACCUUCCUCAAGACUCUGCGCCAACAUUGAAAAUUAACCAGGACCCAAUCUUCUUUAGAUAUCAAAACCGCCACAAUCAGACAAUCAAAAUUACUCAAUUUUUGACCAAAUUGCCCCUGCCAAUUACAACUUGAAAUUCGCUCACAGACAUCAAUAUAUAAAAUCAAAUUGGUUAUAUACGCCUCAUAAUUUCCCCCCAAAUGAUCAGGUCCAAUCACACCACCUAUUCCCAACAUCAAUCUUCAAUUGCCAUUCAUAAGACCGACCCAUCAGAUCCAAAAAUUGAACAGAGUGUCCCACUCCAUGCAUCUCUAACCAAUCAAAAAUCAACACACACCAUCGCUGAAUGCCAAAAAUUCCAGGAGCAAAUAAAAAUAAGAAAUCAGAAGACAACGGCACCCAGAGAGACCGACUCCAGUAAUUUUUAUCUUUCGACACCCAAAAUCUUUUUAAAUCACCGAUUCCAUUGAAUAAAAUUAACCAAUUAGCCCCUGCAAAAUCAGAAAUCUCAACCAAAUCUUUUAUUUCCUUAAAUUGACCAAAAUACCCUAUGGGCCAAAUCUUUAUAAUUCGAUCAUGCUUAUCCACAAUCCCCUUUAUCCGAAAAUCUAACUCAAUACAACCAUCUUUAUUAACUUUUAUUAAUCUCUUAUCCUUCAAAUUCCAUAAAAAUCUCGUUUUCUUGUUCUUCAACUCAAAAGCAGAGAUAAAAAAAAAUACAAGAAAUUAUUCUCCUUUGCCAGCAACCCUGACAAAUGGUAUUCCAAUCCAACAGAAAAUCAAGAUUGACUUCCAUGAUCACGAUACAAACUUUUAACAGGGACAUUCCAUUCCCUACAUAUCUCUUCAUUAAGACCAAGAUAACCGUGAUUAAGGCUAAAUAUCUUAAGUCUAAUGUCCUCCAUAAUAUUCUUAACCACUCCAUCCACAGAGUUUCUUUUCUUCCCAAACAAUCUCUUGUUUCUUUCAUUCCAAAUGUGAUAUAUAGAGGCAGCUAAAGCAAUUUUCCUGAUGAAAUUAUCAAUGCACUUCUUCUUUAACGAAAAUUGAAGCUCCUGAAUGAUCUGAAACAGAUGCCCUGGUUUAUGUUUUAACUUUAAUUAUCUCCCACACUUCCUUGGGAAAAUUACAAUCAAAAAACAGAUGAGAGGGAGAAUCCAUUUGUUUGCUGCAGAAAGCACAACUAAAUUCAUUAGACUCUUUCCAUUUAUUCAUUCUAUCCUGUGUUCUGAGCCUUUCAAGAAUAGCAAGCCGGAGAAUGAAACAGUGACUUGGAAUUCUAUUCUGGAACCAAACCAAAUCAAACCAAACAACUUUUGGUUCAUGACAAAUAAGAGAAGAUGAAACCUGAUUAACAGAAAAAGGGACAGCAUCCCUCUUCCAAUUCAUCCAUAGCACAACAUCCUUCUUUUCUCUGGAUAAUUUAGGAAUGGGAAAUUCUCCAAGCUGAGGAAUCAACCUUAACCAAUCCACAGGCCAGCUCCAAUCAUUAUUGACAAUCACAUCACUCACUUUGUCCCGAAUAUUAAAUCCAGCACAAGCUAUUUCUCUAUGCGAAAGAACAUAACUCAAAGGACCAAGCUGAUGCCAGUUAUCAAACCACAUGGAAGUAUCCUUGCCAUUUCCAAUCUGAACAUAAAAAGAAUCCCUAAUGCAUGAUCUAAUCUUCAGCAGGUUCCUCCAACUCCAGCUCAAUUUAUCUCUAGGACCCACAUCCCAAAAAUUCCUUCCUAAAAGAAGAUAAGAAUUAACCCAUUUAACCCAUAGAGAUUUAUGGCCACUUAUGAGUUUCCAAAUUCUGCUCGAGAGAAGCGCAAUAUUCCAGUCAUUUAAAUUUUUUAACCCAAGCCCCCCAUAAAUCUUAGGCUUACCUUAGCAACUCCUUUCUUGCUUUGAUCAUUGUUCCAUAGAAAAUUCCUCAUACUUUUUUCAAUCUCCUUAGUGAUGCCUUUAGGAAGCAACAUAACAGAAGCCCAAUACACAGGAAGGGAAGCAAGCACAGAACUUAUAAAUUGGAGCCUUCCAGCAUAAGAAAGCGACUUGUUCUUCCAAUUAUUAACCCUCUUCUUCACUUUAUCCACAAGACCUUUGCAAUCUCUAAUAAAUAACUUAGUAGAGACCAAUGGCACCCCUAAAUACUUCAUAGGAAGUUUACCUUCAGCAAAAGGAAGAAAUCUCAGAAUUUUCCUUUUAAAAGGGUCCUUCACGUUACCAAAAAAAAUGUGGCUUUUAGAUAAAUUCGGCCACAGCCCCGCAGAACUAGCAAACUUAUCUAACACCUUCUUGAUGACUUUUAUAGAUCCAGUAUUACCAUGGCAGAAAAACAUCAGGUCAUCAGCAAAACAAAAGUGCGUAAGAUCAAAAACUUCCGUGACAAAAGUGGUUUAGGAUCCUAAGUUUGGGUUAAUACCUUAAAAACCAUUAUUUAUACAUCCUCGUUUCGAUUUAACCCCAAAUUUAUUUUUUGUUCUUCAUUUGCCAUUAUAUUUUAGAAAAUGUUUCAUUUUUGGACCCUUGACCGGUCAUCAACAAGUAAUGAUGACGUGUCAGUUUUUGCAUUUUUUUGUUUGCAUUUGGCCCCAACAUUUCCGUAUAAGUUUGCGUUUAACCCCAAUAUUUUUUGUUCCCCAUUUGCCAUUAUUUUUUAGACAAAAUUUCGUUUUAGCCAUUGGUCAGUCACGAAUAGAUAUUUUAAAACGUAAGAGUUGAAACUACGACUUCUCAUUGAGGGUGAGACGUGUUACCUAGUAAGCCAAUAACUUUUUUUUUUGUAUUAUCAGUGUUUGUUAUAUUUAAUCUACACAUGUAUUUUAAAAUGAAGGAAAAAUAUCUAGUGUAAGUCUUAAGUCUGUAACAUCUAAUAAACAAUAUGACAUGCUAAUCUUUAAGCUAAUCAAAAUUGUUAAUUCAUUCGUAAUUCAUCUAAAAACAAUUGGUUAUGUUUACCAACAUAUUUGUUAAGAAACCAUAUAUUUCUAAAGAGUAAAAAAAAUGUGCCUUCUCUUUAAGGGACGAGGCGUGUUACAUGUUUACAUUAAAUUCAAUACAACAAACAUUGAUAAUACAAAAAAGAACCAUUAACUUACCAUCUAACACGCAUCGUCCCUUAAAGAGAAGGCACAUUUUUUACUCUUUAGAAAUAUAUGGUUUCUUAACAAAUAUGUUGGUAAACAUAACCAAUUGUUUUUAGAUGAAUUACGAAUGAAUUAACAAUUUUGAUUAGCUUAAAGAUUAGCAUGUCAUAUUGUUUAUUAGAUGUUACAGACUCAAGACUUACACUAGAUAUUUUUCCUUCAUUUUAAAAUACAUGUGUAGAUUAAAUACAACAAACACUGAUAAUACAAAAAAAAAAUUAUUGGCUUACUAGGUAACACGUCUCACCCUCAAUGAGAAGUCGUAGUUUCAACUCUUACGUUUUAAAAUAUCUAUUCGUGACUGACCAAUGGCUAAAACGAAAUUUUGUCUAAAAAAUAAUGGCAAAUGGGGAACAAAAAAUAUUGGGGUUAAACGCAAACUUAUACGGAAAUGUUGGGGCCAAAUGCAAACAAAAAAAUGCAAAAACUGACACGUCAUCAUUACCUGUUGAUGACCGGUUAAGGGUCCGAAAAUGAAACGUUUUCUAAAAUAUAAUGGCAAAUGAAGAACAAAAAAUAAAUUUGGGGUUAAAUCGAAACGAGGAUGUAUAAAUAAUGGUUUUUAAGGUAUUAACCCUCCUAAGUUUUAGGGGUUUUAUGGGUUUAAGGGUUUAGGUUUUUUUUUUUUUUUUUU
rnacentral:lncRNA from 1 species